CCAACGGCCCUCUUUGGGGCCACCACCUUCAUUUCGAAUACAGUUA
rfam:Ancylostoma duodenale strain Zhejiang A_duodenale-1.0_Cont7852.2, whole genome shotgun sequence.